AGUGAGAUAGCUGGGUCAAAUGGUGGUUCCAUUCCAAGUUUUCUAAGGAAUCUCCAUACUUUCCAGAUUGGUUACACCAAUUUGCAAUCCCACCAGCAAU
rnacentral:pre_miRNA from 1 species